CCGAAAGGCAGGAGUGCCUGCAAGGGAGCGCGGAGACAGGUGGUGCAUGGCUGUCGUCAGCUCGUGUCGUGAGAUGUUGGGUUAAGUCCCGCAACGAGCGCAACCCUCACCUCUUGUUGCCAUCAGGUCAUGCUGGGCACUCUAGAGGAACUGCCCCGGUCAACGGGGAGGAAGGCGGGGAUGACGUCAAGUCAUCAUGCCCCUUACGUCCUGGGCUACACACGUGCUACAAUGGCCGGUACAAAGGGAUGCCUCACCGCGAGGUAGAGCUAAACCCAAAAAGCCGGUCUAAGUUCGGAUUGGAGUCUGCAACUCGACUCCAUGAAGGAGGAAUCGCUAGUAAUCGCGUAUCAGCACGACGCGGUGAAUACGUUCCCGGGCCUUGUACACACCGCCCGUCACACCACGAAAGCCGG
rnacentral:rRNA from 1 species